UACAGAGGUGGCAAGCGUUGUUCGGAUUUAUUGGGCGUAAAGGGUCCGUAGGCGGUUUGGAAAGUCGGGUGUGAAAGCCCACAGCUUAACUGUGGAACUGCACUCGAAACUUCCAGACUAGAGUAUGAGAGGGGUGAAGGGAAUUCCCGGUGUAAGGGUGAAAUCUGCAGAGAUCGGGAGGAACACCUGUCGCGAAGGCGCUUCACUGGCUCAUUACUGACGCUCAGGGACGAAAGCUAGGGUAGCAAACGGG
rnacentral:rRNA from 1 species